rnacentral:rRNA from 1 species
CCUACGGGAGGCAGCAGUGGGGAAUAUUGCACAAUGGGCGCAAGCCUGAUGCAGCCAUGCCGCGUGUGUGAAGAAGGCCUUCGGGUUGUAAAGCACUUUCAGUCAGGAGGAAAGGUUAGUAGUUAAUACCUGCUAGCUGUGACGUUACUGACAGAAGAAGCACCGGCUAACUCCGUGCCAGCAGCCGCGGUAAUACGGAGGGUGCGAGCGUUAAUCGGAAUUACUGGGCGUAAAGCGUACGCAGGCGGUUUGUUAAGCGAGAUGUGAAAGCCCCGGGCUCAACCUGGGAACUGCAUUUCGAACUGGCAAACUAGAGUGUGAUAGAGGGUGGUAGAAUUUCAGGUGUAGCGGUGAAAUGCGUAGAGAUCUGAAGGAAUACCGAUGGCGAAGGCAGCCACCUGGGUCAACACUGACGCUCAUGUACGAAAGCGUGGGGAGCAAACGGGAUUAGAUACCCCGGUAGUCCACGCCGUAAACGAUGUCUACUAGAAGCUCGGAGCCUCGGUUCUGUUUUUCAAAGCUAACGCAUUAAGUAGACCGCCUGGGGAGUACGGCCGCAAGGUUAAAACUCAAGGAAUUGACGG